GACGAACCGUGCGAACGUUCUUCGGAAUCCCUGGGCUUAAAGCGCGUGUAGGCUGGACGGCACGUCGGUCGCUGAAAGCCCCCGGCUCAACCGGGGAACGGGCGCCGAUACGACCGGCCUGGAGGGACGUAGGGGGACCUGGAACUUCCGGUGGAGCGGUGAAAUGCGUUGAGAUCGGAAGGAACGCCCGUGGCGAAAGCGAGGUCCUGGACGUUUUCUGACGCUGAGACGUGAAAGCCAGGGGAGCGAACGGG
rnacentral:rRNA from 1 species